GCAGCCUCCAGCCCCGGCGGCCCCGGUCUCCCGACCCCGGAAGGCGGCGCAGGCUGCCCGGGGACCCCGCGCGUCGGCGCUUGAAGCCGAGACGAGCCCGCCCGGGCCGAGCAGGGGGAGCAGGGCCUUGGACCCCGCGGCGCCCCUCGGCCUCGGAGCAGCGAGCGCAGCGCCGCCUCUGAAGCCUCUGAAGAGCCGAUCCAUUCAGGAUGGGAAACCACGCAGGCAAACGAGAAUUAAACACCGAGAAGGCCAGUACGAAUGGUGAAACUAACAGCGGAGAACCUGAGAAAAAGACAAACCCGGGUGAACUUUCCCGGACAACCUCAGAGGACAACGAAGUGUUUGGAGAGGCAGAUGCGAACCAGAACAAUGGGACCUCCUCUCAGGACACAGCGGUGACUGACUCCAAGCGCACAGCGGACCCGAAGAAUGCCUGGCAGGAUGCCCACCCAGCUGACCCAGGGAGCCGCCCCCACUUGAUCCGCCUCUUUUCCCGAGAUGCCCCGGGGAGGGAGGACAACACCUUCAAAGACAGGCCCUCUGAGUCCGACGAGCUCCAGACCAUCCAAGAAGACAGUGCAGCCACCUCCGAGAGCCUGGAUGUGAUGGCGUCACAGAAGAGACCCUCCCAGAGGCACGGAUCCAAGUACCUGGCCACAGCAAGUACCAUGGACCAUGCCAGGCAUGGCUUCCUCCCAAGGCACAGAGACACGGGCAUCCUUGACUCCAUUGGGCGCUUCUUUGGCGGUGACAGGGGUGUGCCCAAGCGGGGCUCUGGCAAGGUACCCUGGCUAAAGCCGGGCCGGAGCCCUCUGCCCUCUCAUGCCCGCAGCCAGCCUGGGCUGUGCAACAUGUACAAGGACUCACACCACGCGGCAAGAACUGCUCACUACGGCUCCCUGCCCCAGAAGUCACACGGCCGGACUCAAGAUGAAAACCCCGUAGUCCACUUCUUCAAGAACAUUGUGACGCCUCGCACUCCACCCCCAUCGCAGGGAAAGGGGAGAGGACUGUCCCUGAGCAGAUUUAGCUGGCGUGAAGGGGGCCGAAGGGCAGAAACCAGGAUUUGGCUACGGAGGCAGAGCGUCCGACUAUAAAUCGGCUCACAAGGGAUUCAAGGGAGUCGAUGCCCAGGGCACGCUUUCCAGAAUUUUUAAGCUGGGAGGAAGAGAUAGUCGCUCUGGAUCACCCAUGGCUAGACGCUGAAAAUCCACCUGGUUCCGGAAUCCUGUCCUCAGCUUCUUAAUAUAACUGCCUUAAAACUUUAAUCCCAUUUGCCCCCAUUACCUAGUUAGAGCAGAUGACCUCUCCCCUAAUGCCUGUGGAGUUGUGCACGUCCUAGGGUCAGGCACACGGCAGCCUACCGGCAAUUUCUGGCCAACAGUUAAAUGAAGCAAAUGAAAACAGAAAACAGUUCAAACUGUCACUUUCUGUGUGAAGGUCACAUUCCUUACCCCACAGUGUGCCCCCAGACGCUCGUGGGUCUUCAGGGGGCCAGGUGCACAGACGUCCCUCCACGUUCACCCCUCCACCCUUGGACUUUCUUUUCGCCGUGACGGUGACACCCUUGCGCUUUUGCUGGGCACUGCGAUGGAGGCACACAGCUGCAGAGACAGAGGACGUGGGCGGCAGAGAGGACUGUUGACAUCCAAGCUUCCUUUGUUUUUUUUUUCUGUCCUUCUCUCACCUCCUAAAGUAGACUUCAUUUUUCCUAACAGGAUUAGACAGUCAAGGAGUGGCUUACUGCAUGUGGGAGCUUUUGGUAUGUGACAUGCGGGCUGGGCAGCUGUUAGAGUCCAACGUGGGGCAGCACAGAGAGCGGGGCAUGCCCCCAGGUCGUGGCUGCCCACACACCCCAAUUAGCUGAAUUCGCGUGUGGCAGAGGGAGGAAAAGGAGGCAAAUGUGGGCUGGGCAAUGGCCUCACACAGGCAACAGGGUCUUCCUGGAGAUUUGGUGAUGGAGAUGUCAAGCAGGCGGCCUCUGGACGUCACUGUUGCCCUGCAUGGUGGCCCCAGAGCAGCCUCUACGAACAACCUCGUUUCCAAACCAGAGCCCACAGCCGGAGAGUCCAGGAAGACUUACGCACUCAGAGCAGAAGGGUAGGAGUCCUCUGGACAGCCUCGCAGCCGCGCCAGUCACCCUUAGACACUGGCUGUGACCGGGCGUGCAGGCAGCGGCAGUGCACAGUGGCCAGCACUAACCCUCCCUGAGAAGAUAACCGGCUCAUCCACCUCCUCCCAGAAGACGCGUCGUAGCGAGUAGGCACAGGCGUGCACCUGCUCCCGAAUUACUCACCGAGACACACGGGCUGAGCGGAUGGCCCUGUGGAGACAGAGAAGAGCUCUUCUGACCACAUCCUUCCUAACACCUGCUGACAUCUCCUUUUGCUCCUCCCUCCCUAACCUACUGACCCACCUUUUGAUUUUAGCGCACCCGUGAUAGGCCUUCCAAAGAGCCCCACGCUGGCAUCACCCUCCCCGAGGACGAAGAUGAGGAGUAGUCAGUGUGAUGCCAAAACGCGUCUUCUUAAUCCCACUCUAAUUCUGAAUGUUUCGUGUGGGCUUAAUAUCAUGUCUAUUAAUAUAUAGCCUCAAAGAUGAGAGGGUUACAAAGAACAAAACUCCAGACACAAACCCCCACAUUUUUCAGCAGAAGCACUCUGCGUCGCUGAGCUGAGGUCGGCUCUGCCAUCCAUACGUGGCCGCACCCAAACAGCACGUGCUGUGACGAUGGCUGAACGGAAAGUGUACACUGUUCCUGAAAUUGAAAUAAAACAAUAAACUUUUAAUGGUA